rnacentral:rRNA from 1 species
GAGUUUUGAUCAUGGCUCAGGAUGAACGCUAGCUACAGGCUUAACACAUGCAAGUCGAGGGGAAACGACAUCGAAAGCUUUGCUUUUGAUGGGCGUCGACCGGCGCACGGGUGAGUAACGCGUAUCCAACCUGCCCACCACUUGGGGAUAACCUUGCGAAAGUAAGACUAAUACCCAAUGAUAUCUCUAGAAGACAUCUGAAAGAAGAUUAAAGAUUUAUCGGUGAUGGAUGGGGAUGCGUCUGAUUAGCUUGUUGGCGGGGUAACGGCCCACCAAGGCAACAAUCAGUAGGGGUUCUGAGAGGAAGGUCCCCCACAUUGGAACUGAGACACGGUCCAAACUCCUACGGGAGGCAGCA